GGGGAUGAAAGGCUAUCGACAGGUUCGGUGAGGCUUGGUCAGCGAGUAGCGGAGUUGCACCGCUUUAAAAGUAACACUUUAAAAAUAACUGACAAUAAUAAAACAGUUCUUCGCGCUGCCUAAGCAGUGCGCGUCCUGAUUAAGAGUGCCGCGGCUUAAUUAAGGGCGUCGAUUAGCGGCGAACAUGAACGGGGGAGCGCCUCGGCUCCCGUCAGGUAUAAGAGGCUACCGUAGCUAAAGGGUUGUUUGCCGCCGUUUAGUGAGGGGAAUCCCAAUGACAAACUACACUCGUAGAGCCCUUGAGGAACUGAGUUUGGACGCGAGUUCGAUUCUCGCCAUCUCCACCA
rnacentral:tmRNA from 1 species